rnacentral:lncRNA from 1 species
GACGAAUCUGAUGAGUUGGAGCUUGAUGGUGUUGAAGUGGCCCUCUUCACUGUCAUCAGUGACCAUGACACGACAAGUCCAGUUCACUACCAACCUGUGAAAACCUCUGUCGUCAUUGAAAGUGAUGCCAUGUCAGAUGCAGGUGGCAGAAACAGAACUAUCAGGUACUCCUGAGAGAACAGGGCGGAGUCUGAAGAGGUGAAGGUGACCUCUAUCAGAGUUGUUACUCAAGCUUUCACUGAAGCUUCAACGUGCCGGCUUACAUCAUCUUUUAUAUUGAGUCUGACUCAGUAAACAUCUUAAAAUUUUACACACAGACUCGGGUUUCAUUUUCAAAUCUAUUGUGUCAUAACUGAUGGAGGAAUAAUUACUCUUUUUUUCAUUUCAGUUUCCAUCAUGACUUUUAAUUUCAAGGCUGCAAAGAAAAUAACACUUCGGUCAGUGUGCUGAUGUUUAUAUUGCUCAGUCAGUAUUCAUGGAAAUGCUGACUAAAUGCAGAAAUAUCAGCAUGGAGCAAUAAUCAAUAAUGUUAUGAGCAUCAUUCCAAUAUCUGAUCAGCACCAUGGACAGCAGCCACGAUCACAGGUCCUCUCCUCACUAAAGAUAAGAACAAGAUCAACAUUAACUCAGAGUAAUAAAAUUGGAUAAGUAUAGUUUAAGUGAUUUUAUUAUUGUUUUGUGAUUUUUAUUAUUUGAUUUUGCUUUUGCUUUGGAAAAGUCAUUUAACAAAAUUUCCUGCAAUUAACUUUGGCCUUGUAACCUUGUUUUUGAAACAGUAAAGAAAAAAGCCUAAGUUUUAUUCUUUAAAUUCAAUUACAUUUUUUUUCCUUGGAGCCUGCUGUCCAUGCUACUAAAAUCAUCCCAGAGGUAACAGGAUCAAUGGGGCGCACUUCCAUCAACAGGUGGGACUGAUAGGAGUCGACCUGCAGUGCAAACUGCACGAAUCAUCUCUGUCAUCACCUGGGUUUUUCUCCUGGCUCCAACAAUCGUCUAUGUUAUCAUUUUUUUCAGCUCCCAGAAACCUCUGACCUUUAAUCCUAGCCGCUGCGUUCACCUGUUUACUCCAUCAGUCAGCCUGUUGUUCAGGCUGACUGCAAUCAUCUUCCUCUUGGUCUUCAUAUCCCUGGUCUUCUUCUACUACAGCAUCUUCCCCAGGGUUUUGGAGGCACAGCAGAAGCAGCUGACCUCCUUUGGCUCUGAGAAGCUGGUGAAGUAUCGCAGGAACGUGUUGGUGCUGGUCAGCGUCUUCUGUGUUUGCUUUGUCCCAUUUUACCUGGUUCAUCUUCCCUUUACAUUUCUGUGGAGUGAUGACUCCGUAGGUCCAGUAUUGUUCUACCUGAAGGAGGUGGCCACCAUGGUGUCAGUUUUCAACAUCUGCCUGGACCCUGUUGUUUACUUUUUCCUCAGCAAUACUUUUGGGGAGAAGACCAGAAAAUUUAUCAUAGCUGAGUCUGGACAGGUCGUCACUCUGACGUGUUGAGCUCCAAACAACAAGAUCAUGGUUGUAGAGUGGAGCAGAGCUGAAAUGAAGUCAGAAUAUGUCCUUUGUUAUCAGGAUAGUCACUUUUAUCCAGACAGCCAGCAUCCAUCUUUUAAGAACCGGGUGGAUCUGCUGGACAGACAGAUGAAGGAUGGAGACGUGUCUUUGAUUCUGAAGGAUGUGACAGCUAAUGAUGCUGGAACAUACGAGUGUCGUGUCUUCAUGGAUGGAGCACACUCAUUGGAGUUAAGCAUCAUCUACCUUCAUGUUCCUCCAGGUGAGUGAUUAGAGUUGACUUUGUGUGUGAUCAGAGGUGAAGCUGCUUCCUGGUUGUUGAUGUUUGUUUGUAAAGAUGUUGUUGAUGAGACUUUGUAGAAAGCAGCUGGUCUGAGUGAUGUGAUCAGAGUGCAGUAGAUAAUGUCUGACAGCAGUUUGAAGAGGAAAUGGAUUCUGUUCUGUUCUUCACUCAUCACCUACCUGACAGCUGACACCUUACAUCUGUUUCUCACCUGCAGGUCAGACAGGAGGACAAGAGAAGGAUGAAGACAAGACGGAAGAUGGAAGAAAGGAAGAUGACGGAGUGGGUGGAUCUGUUGGAAUUAUUGUUGGUCUGUCAGUUUCUGCUGUGCUUCUCGUUGCUCUUGUUAUUGUUUUUCUGAUCUGCAGAAAAUAUUAACGACAGAACCGGGAUUUUAUCUAGCAUCCUAUUGAACUGCAGCAGGUUGAAAUGUCUCAGAGCUUUUUACAGCUUUGAGUCUGCUGCUGCUGUUCAGAGUUCUGGGUAUUGUCAGUGUUUUAAAGUCAUGCAGAAACAGAUGUAAUGAGCAUAGACAGCAGGCCUACAGUACUGUAUGUCUAUUUCAUUUUUACUCAAGGUUUUUGUCAUGAGAUUUGAGUGUCUUACUGAUCAACAGAUCAAACGGCCCCUUUAGACUUCAGUAUCACAUCCCUGCUGAACGUCGAGCAGUGAACUUUGCAUAAUUUGCAUCUUUUAAUAAAUCUAGUUUGUUAGAUCUUCCAGCUACAACAUGAAAAAUAUGAAAUAAUUAAAUAUAAAAAGUACAGAUUCAUUUAGCUGCAGCUCGAGUGUCUGUUUGAGCACCUGUGAUGUAAAUUUCAUCAUCAGUGAGAGCGAGGUUUCAUUGUUUUAAAGUGCACAAGUGAAUGUGAGUUUCCAUCGUCCUCAGGCUGAAAUCUCUGAUGUAACAAUGAUUUCAUAUCAUUGUGAUAUUUACAGGAACUCUGGGCCUCAUUUCUGUGUGUAAAACACUGAAAACUAAAGAGACAAAUUCAAAGAGCACAGUGUAGAACAGCUGACUGCACACUGUAACAUGUGAACAUCUGUAGCUGCUGCUUGGAUUGAAUGUAGUGAGCCUUCGGCUGUAGUCAGUGGCGGAGGGAGCGGGGGGGGGGGGGGGGGGGUGGCUUACUGGGCUUAAGCCCGGGUUGUUUUUUCAGAAGCCCGGGGUCUUUGGGAGUGUAAUUUUGUCAUAGUUAGAUGCCUGGCUGACAACUGUAUAAAACAAAAACUACACACAAUAUUCGAAGCACAUAGUGCACAUUGUGGGAAUUUACGACUGUGCGUAAAUGCCCCCUAAUAUUGGUAUGAUCCGAGCUCAGGCACUAAGCGACUGAGCGAGGGGGCGGGGCAGCUGCUGCCUGCGAGUGCGCUGAGAGAAACGGAGCGAGGCAGACAGAGGAGAGCUUAAGUUCGACCAGGUACCAAAGCAAAUCAUUCGUACUGUACAAAUAAUGUAAAUAUGACGGUGUAUCAGAAAAGAUUGAUGUCAAACUGAUCAUUUGACCCAUAUUAAGUUACUUGCUCUUCAAGUGAAUCAACAAAUGGCGAAAUGAAAAGCCGAACAACAACAAUGCUGUUUCUUUAGAGAGUCUUAGCUUACAUGUGUGUUUAUUUCAUAUUUUCAGUUGUUUCCCUCCACGGCUAAAUAAAUCGGUUUCAGUAAUGUACUGAUAUACAAGAAUGGACAUAAGGAGCUUCUUUCAAAGAAAAAACUCAGAUGUUAUUUUAUAUAUUAUGCUUUGUAUGUUGUUCAGUAUAUUUCUAUGCAGAACAAGAGGAAUUUCAAUACACAGCAGUUUAUUCACAGCUGAAACCAGAUAUUUACAUACACUUUAUGGAAAACACAAGAACAUUUUUUUUUACUGUACAUCAUCAAUAUAGAGUAAACUUGUUUUGUUUUGGAUAAAUAAAUAUUGAAAUAUCUUUUGAAUUAGUUAAAUGUCAGAAUAAAGAGAGAGGGAGCUGUCUAUUUUUUAUCACUUUCAUCAAAUUUAGGAGUACAUAUACACUAAGUUUAUUGUUAAUUCAUAAGAAAACUCCAGACUAUUCCAUUCUGAGCUGAAGAAGCUUCUGAUAGGUUAGUAGAGUCCAUGUGAGUAAAUUGGUGGCACACCUGUGGAUGCAUAUAAGGCAAAACACAGAGCCUGUUUCUCGUAUGUAUCUCGUACCUAGUGUUUCUUUUUAGGUUUGUUAUUUUUCAAAUUCUAUAUUUAUUAAGUUAUGCAGGCUUGUUUGCACAACAAGGCUAAAUAAUUAUAUAAACUUUUCUAAAUAAUUUACUUUGGUAGAAUUAAAAAAUAAAUGUAGUGCAGGUCUAUGAUGAUUUUUAGUGCUACUAUCAUCUAGUUCUGAUUCUGGUUCUGUCUUGGUUAAGUCCUAAGUAGUCCUGAUUUUGAACUGUUGUAGUCCUGUUUUAAUUCUGGAUCAGUUCUGGCUCUGGUCAAAAAAGGAAUUGUAUAUAACUGUAACUAACGGUAACUGACACAUGGUAUAUUAUCUGCUUAUGCACACAGGGCACAUACAGCCCUUUAAAUAGUAAAGCUUGUGUAUUUUCUCUUUGAGAUCUACCAGACUGCGCUCUGGGUGGUAGUGUGUAUGUCUCCCACUUAUGCGCUUAAUAAAGCACAUAUGUGCAUAAUUAAAGAUUGUCAUUGUUUAAAGGUGAAAGUAUUUCUUUGUGCCCCCCUUUCCCUGUUAAUGCCCUGCCUGGGCCCCUGGCAUAACUUUGCUAGACCCGCCCCUGCACAGUUACCAGCUGUCAGGUACAUAAAAAAGGAUCCUGGUGUUAUUUGUCUCUCAGAAACAGUUCAUAACUUCCCUUCAACUCAUUCAUGUCACCUAAAACGUAAACCUGUUUCUCCAUCACCUGUUC